CAGUGGCGUAGCUUGCAUGUAUGCUCAGAUGCUCAAGCAUCCACAUCAUUUUGACAGGGAAAAAAUAUAAAUAAAGAUAUGUUCGCAGCAGUUAAACUCGGAGGUAUCCGUAUGUAACAAGGGUUAGGAUAUGAGGAUAACAUCCAAUUAUUUCCGAUGAAGUAUGCGUGGUCUUUUAUAAAGGAUAAUUUAGUGCAUGUAAUAAAACAAGAUGGAUAAAUCGCAGAAAAGUAUUCUCUAUUUUUUUUCGUAAAAAGACUACGUCGUCGGCUACGGC
rnacentral:lncRNA from 1 species